GCCAGACUCCUACGGGAGGCAGCAGUGGGGAAUAUUGGGCAAUGGGCGCAAGCCUGACCCAGCAAUGCCGCGUGAAGGAAGAAGGCCUUCGGGUUGUAAACUUCUUUUAUCAGGGACGAAGGAUGUGACGGUACCUGAUGAAUAAGCUCCGGCUAACUACGUGCCAGCAGCCGCGGUAAUACGUAGGGGGCAAGCGUUAUCCGGAUUUACUGGGUGUAAAGGGAGCGUAGACGGAAAGGCAAGUCAGAAGUGAAAACCCAAGGCUCAACCAUGGGACUGCUUUUGAAACUGUCAAACUAGAGUACGGGAGAGGUAAGAGGAAUUCCUAGUGUAGCGGUGAAAUGCGUAGAUAUUAGGAGGAACACCAGUGGCGAAGGCGUCUUACUGGACUGUAAAUGACGCUGAGGCUCGAAAGCGUGGGGAGCAAACAGGAUUAGAUACCCCAGUAC
rnacentral:rRNA from 1 species